GCCUGGGUAGCUCAGUUGGUUAAGCAUCCGACUUCGGCUCAGGUCAUGAUCUCACAGUCCGUGGGUUCGAGCCCCACGUCAGGCU
rnacentral:tRNA from 1 species